GGUGGUAUAGCUUAGCGGAAAAGCGUUACGUUGACAUCUUAAAGGUCACAGGUUCGAUCCUUGUUAUCCCCA
rnacentral:tRNA from 1 species